ensembl:lncRNA
UCAGGAUAGUGUAGGCUGCGCUUCAACAACAAAACCCUAGAAAGCUCCAUAGCUUACAAACCGGAGGUUUAUUUCUUCCUUUGCUGUAUGUCCAUUGUGGGUUGGCUGUGGCUCUGUCUCAUGUCGUCUUUACUCUGGGCCCCAGGCUGGUGCCACAGGCCCUAGCUGGGGAUGAGGGGCGGGGAGGAAGGGGUGGGGGAGCAUCAUGAACCAUCCCUUGGCCCUUAAAAUUUCUGCUUGGAAGUGACACAAGGCUCUUCUACUCCAAUUCCAUUGGCCAAAGUCAAUCAUAUGGCUAAGUCUGCUGGCAGUGGGAGAGGGAAGGGACAAUCCUUCGCCAGGGAGCAGCAUGGACUAUUUGUGAAAAAUAGGACACACGUGGUCACCAAGAGAGGCAUCCCUCAAUUUCAUUGUAAAAUCACCUGCCUUAACUUACACAUAUUAACAGAGUCUUUAUUUGCUGUCUUAAGAAACAGAGGUAAAGUCAGGUCAGGUGAGGGGUUGAGCAAUAACAGAUUCAAAGUGCAGCAGGUGAUUGAGGAGCUGGUCAUGUUUGGAGGAGGACAGACACUGAGUCUGAGAUCCCAGGGAGACGUCCAUGGAGAAGGUUCCCAGCUGGGGCUUACAAAUGCGAGGUGGGUCAGGGGUGUGCCCUGAGAGGCGGCAUUUCUAACGAGUUCCCAGGGGCUGCUGCUGCUGCUGUUGUCAGGAGACCACACUUCCAGAAGCACUCUCUUUGGCGGUUAGAGAACUUGGAAUGGAAGCACCUCCUCUCUGCACUGGGGCACGACAGCCCCCACGCGAAAGAGGACUUCCUAACCUGUUUUCCUUGCUCACAUGCUUCCCGCAUCGCACAGUGUCCUGGAGAGAGUCAGAACGAAGCAAUGGGGGUCACAGUCAAGAAGGCUGCAGGCAGGAGCCCAGUCUCCUGCUGACAGACAGUGUGGAGAAGACAAAGGGGCACAGGGCUGCUCCUCCAGAAAUGGCAUCCAGGUUCCCAGGCUUGGGGAAAAACGAACAUGAUUCUAUGGCUCGGGGACAGACAGAAAGGCCAAUGGAAUGGAAUCAAGUGCCUAGAUGUUGACCCAAUAUACCUGGAAACUUGAGAUCGUAUAGAAGUAGCAUUGAUGUGAGUGUGGAAAGGAUGGCCUAUUCAAUAAAUGGUACCAGGACAUUUAUCUAGCUGAAAAAAAAAGAUCCUACAAAGUUCUUGUUUAUGCUUUCUACAAGCAAGAACAUUCUCCUAUAUAAUCUCAACACAACCACCAAAAUCAGGAAAUUAAUGCUGACACAUUACUAUCAUCUAAUUCUCAGACCUCCAUUCAAGUUUCAAAAUUGUCCCAAUAAUGACCUUUACGGAAAAGAUAUACGGUUCUAAAUCACAUGUUGCCUCAGUUAUGUCUUUUUAGUCUGUAUCAAUCUGGAACAAUUCCUCAGUCUUUUCUUGACUUUCCUAAUCUUGACCCUUUUGAAAAUUACAGGCAAGUUAUUUUGCAGAAUUAUCCCUCAAUCUGGGUUUCCUUAAUGUCUCCUUGUGAUUAGAUCCAGGUUACUUUUCUUUUUUUGGCAGGAAUAUUGCAGAAGUGAUGCUGUAUUCUUCCUGAUACGUAAGAUGUGAGGCAAAAAAA